GCGACCCCAGGUCAGGCGGGACUACCCGCUGAGUUUAAGCAUAUCAAAAA
rnacentral:rRNA from 1 species